rnacentral:misc_RNA from 1 species
ACAACUUCAGGAUAUUCUAUAAUUAUUUUCAGUUCAAUUGCUUAUUAAAAACGAUUUGGUUUGGUGGAAGGGAGCAAAUGCUCAACUUCAUUAAUGGAAGUUGGAUCUUGUGCCAUGAACUUAAUAAUAUAUCAAUGGGUUUGGCAAAUAGAUUGAUGAGAGGCUUAGUAUUUGAGGAGUUUCCAAUAUGCUAGUCCCAUAAACACUAGUCGGAAAAAACAUGUUGAGUAUCAUCUAUCAAAUAUUCCAAUACAAAAUUAAUUACUUGGUCACACAAUGGACCCAUACACCCUGGUAUCCCAAAAAUGUUCCACACAAAAACAAAUAAAUAUUCCUCUUUCGGACAUCUUCCUGAUCAAGAAUGGGUAGAAAAGAAAAAAAAAAUAGUACAAGACAAAAGUAUAUCAUUUACAUAAUUUGCUUAUUCUAAUCAAGUAACUAAAGAAAAUUGCGAGUGGAUUUGACUGGUGCCAGCAUUGAAAUUCCGGAAGGAUUCUCUAAAACCACUUCCCAGAAUAAAAUUUGUAAAAUUGAAAGGAUAUACCCAUCUAAUUAAUCGCCACAUCAAAGUACAAAAAACCUACCUCAAAGUCUCUCUCCCUUUCAAAACUGUCUUCUUGUAUCCAAUCAUGCAUGGAUGUCUACCAUUAUGCCAAUCUCUCAAUUGUAGCUGUAACGCACUCAGAUCCACUGCAAUCGCUUUAGUUCUUCCACUACCACUAAAUAAACUAGCAAUGGGUUAUAAUGGAAACCCCCUGGUCACCUCAUCAGCCACAAUAAUUUUCUGGCUAUGCUUGGUGUACUAUACACUUAAAAUACUGAAUAGAUAUUUAUAUAUGUCUGUAUCGAUCCCACAAUAAUUUUCUGGCUGUGCUUGGUGUACUAUACACUUAAAAUACUGAAUAGAUAUUUAUAUAUGUCUGUAUCGAUCCCACAAUAAUUUUCUGGCUGUGCUUGGUGUACUAUACACUUAAAAUACUGAAUGGAUAUUUAUGUAUGUCUGUAUCGAUCUGUUGCUUCCCUUUUUGACCUUUCUCAACCCAAGGCUGUACAACUUCAGAAAUUCUUAUUGUGCAGGUGGAGUUGUUAAGAAUUGAGGGAAGGGGGUCGUAAACUAAAGUUAUAUACGCAACCCAAUUUUCUCUUUAGAAUUUAGAAAUGC